AUGGAGUCCUUACCCUUCGUGUACCGAUGUUCUUGUCUCCCGAGACUUACCCUUGCUAUCUCGUCCUCCGAGUUCAUGUCUGCUCCAAUUUCCUCCCCAGCCAUCAAGUGGGAGAAAAAUGGUUUUGAGGGUACUCGCCAGGUUGUGUUCCGUGGAACCAGGGGAGGUCGCUCCGGAGUAAGCAGUCGAGAGGAGGUCCGGCAGCGAUCUCCACUGUGGGCUCCCGUUGACCCGGGGUUCGGUUGGGAGCCGCCACUUCCCCAUUAUGAACAGAGAGGGGAGAGGAGACGCAAAUCGGCUGAGCCAGCGCCGCUGUGCAAGAUGGCCACCAGUCCAGUGCCGCUGCACAAAAUGGCCACCAACCCAGCACCACGAGGCAAAAUGGAAGCCAGCCCCACGCCACAGCACAAGAUGGCUGCCAACCCAGCGCCAGGAGGCGAGAUGGACACCAGCAUAGCGCCAGAGCACAAAGUGGCCACCAGUCCAGCGCUACAGUGCAAGAUGGCCGCCAGCUCAACGCCAAUGCCCAAGAUGGCAGCAGAGACAUUUUUGGAUUAUUUCUCUAGGCUGUCAAAAAUCCUAGAGGUUCCCAAGACUGUUCACGUCACGUCUGCGGAGCCAGCACCACUGCACAAGAUGUCUGCCAGCCUGGAGCCACUGCAGAGGAAGGCAGUUACAGUGGGCUUUCCUGAGUUGAGUCAGAUUCCUGUUGACCAUCCAGAGUCGAUUCAGGUGCCCGUUGACUUUCCAGAGUUGAGUCAGAUUCCUGUUGACCUUCCAGAGUCGAGUCAGGUGCCCGUUGACUUUCCAGAGUUGAGUCAGUUUCCGGUUGACCCUCCAGAGUCGGGUCAGGUGUUCGUGGACCCUCCAGAGUCAGGGUUAGUAACCGUCGACCUUCCAGAGUCAGAGUUAGUCACCAUCGACCCUCCAGAGUCAGGGUUAGUCACCGUUGACCUUCCAGAGUCAGGGCUAGUUCCUGUUGACCCUCCAGAGUCGAGUCAGGUGUUCGUGGACCCUCCUAAGUUGAGUCAGAUGCUCAUGGACCCUCCAGAGUCAGGGUUAGUCACCGUCGACCUUCCAGAGUCAGAGUUAGUCACCAUCGACCCUCCAGAGUCAGGGUUAGUCACCGUUGACCAUCCAGAGUCAGGUCUAGUUCCUGUUGACCCUCCAGAGUCGAGUCAGGUGUUCGUGGACCCUCCAGAGUCAGGGGUAGUCACCGUUGACCUUCCAGAGUCAGGGUUAGUCGCCAUUGACCUUCCGGAGUCAGGGUUAGUCACCGUUGACCUUCCGGAGUCAGGGUUAGUCACCUUUGACCUUCCAGAGUCAGGAUUAGCUACCAUGGACUUUCCAGAGACAAGGCUAGUCACCGUUGACCUUUCAGAGUCAAGUCAAGUCACUGGUGAUCUUCAAGGACAGAGUCAAGUCACUGGUGAUCUUCAAGGACAGAGUCAAGUCACUGGUGAUCUUCAAGGACAGAGUCAAGUCAACGGUGAUCUUCAAGGACUGAGUCAAGUCACCGGUGAUCUUCAAGGACUAAGUCAAGUCACCAGGGAUCUUCAUGAACAAAUGCAAGGCACCAAUAAUCUUCAUGAGCAGAGUCAAGUCAGCACCAAUCUUCUGGAAUCCAGUAGGAACACCAUAGGAUUACCAGAGGUUUGUCCUCCCGUUGGUCUGGCCACACGGAUGUGGUGGUCUUCUGCUCCGCCCUGGGGGAUUUCGGCCUCGACCACACGGUUGUGGUGGUCUUCUGCUCUGCCCUGGGGGACUCCGGCCUCGACCACAAGGAUGUGGUGGUAUUCUGCUCUUCCCUGGGGGACUCCGGCAUCGACCACAAGGACGUGGUGGUCCUCUGCUCCGCCCUGGGGGAAUCCGGUCUCGACCACAAGGAUGUGGUGGUCUUCUGCUCCGCCCUGGGGGGCUUCUGUCCUGACCGCAUGGUUGUGGUGGUCUUCUGCUCCGCGCUGGGAGACUCCGGCAUCGACCACAAGGACGUGGUGGUCUUCUGCUCCGCCCUGGGGGACUCCGGCCUCGACCACAAGGAUGUGGUGGUCUUCUGCUCCGACCUGGGAGGCUUCUGCCCUGACCACACGGUUGUGGUGGUCUUCUGCUCUGCCCUGGAGGGCCUCUGUCUUGACCACAUGGUUGUGGUGGUCUUCUGUUCCGCCCUGGUGGGCAUCACGUGAUGUCCUACAUGGACUUAUGUUUUUGUUUUCUUUUGUUUUUCUGUCUGUUUCCUUCUUUGGACCUGGCCCUCCAUCCCUCCCCCUGAUCCUCCGCCGUCCACCACCCUCCUGGACUCCUUGUUUUGUGUUACACUUCUCUUGUCUCUGUCUUUCCAUUUUACCUGGUUGUCUUGUCUCUGUCUCCCCAUUUUACCUGGUUGUCUUGUCUCUGUUUCCCCAUUUUACCUGGUUGUUUUGUCUUUGUUUCCCCAUUCUACCUGGUUGUUUUGUCUCUGUAUCUCCAUUCUACCUGGUUCUCUUGUCUCUGUUUUCCCAUUCUACCUGGUUCUCUUGUCUCUGUUUUCCCAUUCUACCUGGUUCUCUUGUCUCUGUUUUCCCAUUCUACCUGGUUCUCCUGUCUGUGUGUACUAUGUUUUCUGACCCUCCGUCCCUCCCCCUAGUCCUCCGCCGCUCCACCUCCCUCUUAGCUUCUUUAUCUGUUGGUUUUCCCUUGGUUUCAGGUGGAGCAUCUGGCAGCUGCUCCGUGGAGGAGGGGGUAAUGUCAUGCUGUCAGUCUCUGUUUUCCUGGGUGUCCACUAGUUAG
ensembl:lncRNA